rnacentral:rRNA from 1 species
GACGAACGCUGGCGGCGUGCUUAACACAUGCAAGUCGAACGGAAAGGCCCUGCUUUUGUGUGGUGCUCGAGUGGCGAACGCGUGAGUAACACGUGAGUAUCCUGCCCUUGACUUUGGGAUAACCUCACGAAACUGGGGCUAAUACCGGAUAGGAGCUCCUGCUGCUUGGUUGGGGUUGGAAAGUUUCGGCGGUUGGGGUUGGACUCGCGGCUUAUCAGCUUGUUGGUGGGGUAGUGGCUUACCAAGGCUUUGACGGGUAGCCGGCCUGAGAGGGUGACCGGCCACAUUGGGACUGAGAUACGGCCCAGACUCCUACGGGAGGCAGCAGUGGGGAAUAUUACACAAUGGGCGGAAGCCUGAUGCAGCAACGCCGCGUGCGGGAUGACGGCCUUCGGGUUGUAAACCGCUUUCGCCUGUGACGAAGCGUGAGUGACGGUAAUGGGUAAAGAAGCACCGGCUAACUACGUG